AGUGAGGCCAGCUGCGGUGAAGAGGGUGCCUUCUUGCCUGGAGUUCCCUCUGCUACGGCUGCCCCCUCCCAGCCCUGGCCCACUGAGCCAGACCCAGCUGUCCCCAUUCCCACUUCUGGUCCUGCCACCUCCUGAGCCACCUUCUCACCUGGUCUGGGUAGAGUAAUGGCCUCGAGCACAGGUGACCAGAGCCAGAUGGUGAAAAACGGACUGAGAACGAAGGUGCUGACGCUGGACAGCAUGAACCCACGUGUGCAGAGGGUGGAGUACGCGGUGCGUGGCCCCAUAGUGCAGCGAGCCUUGGAGCUGGAGCAGGAGCUGCGCCAGGGUGUGAAGAAGCCUUUCACCGAGGUCAUCCGUGCCAACAUUGGGGACGCACAGGCUAUGGGGCAGAGGCCCAUCACCUUCCUGCGCCAGGUGAGGCUCCUGCACUGCCCGCUGCACCCGCCCACCCCCAGCCCAUGUGCCCUGGCCUCAGCACUCCGUCUUCCCAGGUCUUGGCCCUCUGUGUUAACCCUGAUCUUCUGAGCAGCCCCAACUUCCCUGAGGAUGCCAAGAAA
rnacentral:sRNA from 1 species